rnacentral:miRNA from 1 species
AGUAUGUAUGUAUGUAUGUAUGUAUAAUGUGUGUGUACGUACGUACAUACAUACAUACAUACAUAUGUAUUUACUUA